AGUGAACGCUGGCGGUAGGCCUAACACAUGCAAGUCGAGCGGCAGCACAGUAAGAGCUUGCUCUUACGGGUGGCGAGUGGCGGACGGGUGAGGAAUACAUCGGAAUCUACUUUUUCGUGGGGGAUAACGUAGGGAAACUUACGCUAAUACCGCAUACGACCUACGGGUGAAAGCAGGGGAUCUUCGGACCUUGCGCGAUUGAAUGAGCCGAUGUCGGAUUAGCUAGUUGGCGGGGUAAAGGCCCACCAAGGCGACGAUCCGUAGCUGGUCUGAGAGGAUGAUCAGCCACACUGGAACUGAGACACGGUCCAGACUCCUACGGGAGGCAGCAGUGGGGAAUAUUGGACAAUGGGCGCAAGCCUGAUCCAGCCAUACCGCGUGGGUGAAGAAGGCCUUCGGGUUGUAAAGCCCUUUUGUUGGGAAAGAAAAGCAGCAGGUUAAUACCCCGCUGUUCUGACGGUACCCAAAGAAUAAGCACCGGCUAAUUUCGUG
rnacentral:rRNA from 1 species